rnacentral:rRNA from 1 species
GUAUGGCUCACCUAGGCGACGAUCCCUAGCUGGUCUGAGAGGAUGACCAGCCACACUGGAACUGAGACACGGUCCAGACUCCUACGGGAGGCAGCAGUGGGGAAUAUUGCACAAUGGGCGCAAGCCUGAUGCAGCCAUCCGCGUGUAUGAAGAAGGCCUUCGGGUUGUAAAGUACUUUCAGCGAGGAGGAAGGCGUUAAGGUUAAUAACCUUGGCGAUUGACGUUACUGCAGAAGAAGCACCGGCUAACUCCGUGCCAGCAGCCGCGGUAAUACGGAGGGUGCAAGCGUUAAUCGGAAUUACUGGGCGAAGCGCACGCAGGCGGUCUGUCAAGUCGGAUGUGAAAUCCCCGGGCUCAACCUGGGAACUGCAUUCGAAACUGGCAGGCUAGAGUCUUGUAGAGGGGGGUAGAAUUCCAGGUGUAGCGGUGAAAUGCGUAGAGACUGGAGGAAUACCGGUGGCGAAGGCGGCCCCCUGGACAAAGACUGACGCUCAGGUGCGAAAGCGUGGGGAGCAAACAGGAUUAGAUACCCUGUAGUCCACGCCGUAAACGAUGUCACUUGGAGGUUGUGCCCUUGAGGCGUGGCUUCCGGAGCUAACGCGUUAAGUCGACCGCCUGGGAGUACGGCCGCAAGGUUAAAACUCAAAUGAAUUGACGGGGGCCCGCACAAGCGGUGGAGCAUGUGGUUUAAUUCGAUGCAACGCGAAGAACCUUACCUACUCUUGACAUCCAGAGAACUAGCAGAGAUGCUUUGGUGCCUUCGGGAACUCUGAGACAGGUGCUGCAUGGCUGUCGUCAGCUCGUGUUGUGAAAUGUUGGGUUAAGUCCCGCAACGAGCCAACCCUUAUCCUUUGUUGCCAGCGGUCCGGCCGGGAACUCAAAGGAGACUGCCAGUGAUAAACUGGAG